UCGAGAAUCUUUCGCAAUGGGCGAAAGCCUGACGAAGCGACGCCGUGUGUGCGAUGAAGGCCUUCGGGUUGUAAAGCACUUUCGCUUAGGAACAAGAGAGAUUGGCUAAUAUCCAGUCGAUUUGAGGGUACUAGGUAAAGAAGCACCGGCUAACUACGUGCCAGCAGCUGCGGUAAUACGUAGGGUGCAAGCAUUAAUCGGAUUUAUUGGGCGUAAAGGGCGCGUAGGCGGGGUAAUAAGUCAGAUGUUAAAGCCCGGAGCUCAACUCCGGAAAAGCAUUUGAAACUAUAACUCUAGAGGGUAGGCGGAGAAAAUGGAAUUCCACAAGUAGCGGUGAAAUGCGUAGAUAUGUGGAAGAACACCGGUGGCGAAGGCGGUUUUCUAGCUUAUACCUGACGCUGAGGCGCGAAAGCAAGGGGAGCAAACA
rnacentral:rRNA from 1 species